UCGGCCUUUACACCAGGGGUAUAAAAGCCUCGGGACAGUGGGAGGCUCUACUGAUCACUCUUAACUCUUGAUACCUGCCCUGUGUGUAGCAUUAUCACAUUGCUCUAGAUUUUUUAUUUUUUUUUUAGAUCAUCAUGGUCAUGUCUGGCUGCUUUGUAUCUAAUGCUAUUCGAUUCUUUUUCCUGAGGUCUGCUGCCCUGACGAAUUUUGAUGGUGUUAUUAACCAGGCUGACCCACUUCUUUUUGGCUUUUGGGAUGGACAGGAGUGUGUGACAGUAUGGAAUAUAAGACGAACUUGAAGACAUCCCAGGGAAUAAACAGUGAAAAGCCAUCAAUAAUCUUUAUCUUACCAGUGCUGUUUCUGCAUUUUUUUUCUUGUUCUCUUAAUGACAACACACUGUCCAUACUGUCUCCUACUCCUGUUUCAGAUCCCUCAGGAUGUAACUCAGAGAAUCUGGCUUCCAUAGGACAGGUGGGAGGAUAGGGGUGGGGUUUCCUCUAAAAGUACCAUGAUGCAUUGCCAAGCAGACAUGCCCAUACGGUGAUGAGAUGGGCUGGAGGUCUAUGAUAGCCAAAGUUAUUUUUAACCUACCUUGCUCUGUUCCUCCAGCCUUUCUAUUUUGAUUCCUUUCAACUUUUCUUUUUCCUGUCCACCAUAUGAAGAAGCAAGCGGCUCCUUUUCUCCUUCAUCUUUCUUUUAUUUUCACCUCCUUUUCCCUUCUCUCUCUCUCUCUCUCUCUCUCUCUCUCUCUCUCUCUCUCUCUCUCUCUCUCUCUCUCUCUCUCUCUCUCCCCUUCUCUCUGCUCUCAUCCUUAAACUCUCAAACGCUGAUUCAGCUGCUGGUAUACAGACGAUCCUGCUACAUCCCCAUCCAGUACGGCCUCUCUCGAUUCUGGACUGCAGCUGUGAUCUCCAGCAUUACUGUCCUACUCAUCCCAGAAUGCUUUGCUAAAGCUGGUAAAAUGGAACCAAAUCAACUGUUCUAUGGAUUUGGUCCCCUUCAACCAGCUGUAGCUGUGCAUUGAUCACCCCAGAGGGCAAUGAGAGACACAGAGAAGAUCUGGGAGCACACAAACACAUACUAACCCUUCAGGAUUCACUUUAUGACCAUGUCUGACCGGGUCCGAGCAUCCAAGGAGCUGUCAUGUGGAUUUGCUGAUCUAGCUAGUUGUACCAACCUGAUACAUAUCAGAUCUCUAAUACUGUGAUUAAACACUUUGAGGUUAUAAGGUGAACAUUAGGCAUGCCAUGCUGUUCAACUCUUUAUGACUCAUAAAAUCUGAUGAUUAUGAAUCCAGCCUCAGUUGCAAUCAUUGGAAUAUGGGCUUGCUGAGCUUUAUGUCUGCCCAUUGAUUUCUUGUCUUGCUGGUGAGAGAGAGAGAUGUGAAGAGGACAGGAUGGGAGAGAGGGCUGCAUGUCAAGCUGUUGAAUAAGUAAAGCAAUCGUUCCUUUUCUCUUCCUUUUCCCUCUCACACUUGUCGUGAUCCUUAAUGCACGUUUCUGAUCAAUAAAAGCUCAUCCUGAGGUCCAUAAA